AUGAACGCUAGCUACAGGCUUAACACAUGCAAGUCGAGGGGCAGCAUGGUCUUAGCUUGCUAAGGCCGAUGGCGACCGGCGCACGGGUGAGUAACACGUAUCCAACCUGCCGUCUACUCUUGGACAGCCUUCUGAAAGGAAGAUUAAUACAAGAUGGCAUCAUGAGUCCGCAUGUUCACAUGAUUAAAGGUAUUCCGGUAGACGAUGGGGAUGCGUUCCAUUGGAUAGUAGGCGGGGUAACGGCCCACCUAGUCUUCGAUGGAUAGGGGUUCUGAGAGGAAGGUCCCCCACAUUGGAACUGAGACACGGUCCAAACUCCUACGGGAGGCAGCAGUGAGGAAUAUUGGUCAAUGGGCGAGAGCCUGAACCAGCCAAGUAGCGUGAAGGAUGACUGCCCUAUGGGUUGUAAACUUCUUUUAUAAAGGAAUAAAGUCGGGUAUGGAUACCCGUUUGCAUGUACUUUAUGAAUAAGGAUCGGCUAACUCCGUGCCAGCAGCCGCGGUAAUACGGAGGAUCCGAGCGUUAUCCGGAUUUAUUGGGUUUAAAGGGAGCGUAGAUGGAUGUUUAAGUCAGUUGUGAAAGUUUGCGGCUCAACCGUAAAAUUGCAGUUGAUACUGGAUAUCUUGAGUGCAGUUGAGGCAGGCGGAAUUCGUGGUGUAGCGGUGAAAUGCUUAGAUAUCACGAAGAACUCCGAUUGCGAAGGCAGCCUGCUAAGCUGCAACUGACAUUGAGGCUCGAAAGUGUGGGUAUCAAACAGGAUUAGAUACCCUGGUAGUCCACACGGUAAACGAUGAAUACUCGCUGUUUGCGAUAUACUGCAAGCGGCCAAGCGAAAGCGUUAAGUAUUCCACCUGGGGAGUACGCCGGCAACGGUGAAACUCAAAGGAAUUGACGGGGGCCCGCACAAGCGGAGGAACAUGUGGUUUAAUUCGAUGAUACGCGAGGAACCUUACCCGGGCUUAAAUUGCAGAUGAAUUACGGUGAAAGCCGUAAGCCGCAAGGCAUCUGUGAAGGUGCUGCAUGGUUGUCGUCAGCUCGUGCCGUGAGGUGUCGGCUUAAGUGCCAUAACGAGCGCAACCCUUGUUGUCAGUUACUAACAGGUUCCGCUGAGGACUCUGACAAGACUGCCAUCGUAAGAUGUGAGGAAGGUGGGGAUGACGUCAAAUCAGCACGGCCCUUACGUCCGGGGCUACACACGUGUUACAAUGGGGGGUACAGAGGGCCGCUACCACGCGAGUGGAUGCCAAUCCCCAAAACCUCUCUCAGUUCGGACUGGAGUCUGCAACCCGACUCCACGAAGCUGGAUUCGCUAGUAAUCGCGCAUCAGCCACGGCGCGGUGAAUACGUUCCCGGGCCUUGUACACACCGCCCGUCAAGCCAUGGGAGCCGGGGGUACCUGAAGUGCGUAACCGCGAGGAGCGCCCUAGGGUAAAACUGGUGACU
rnacentral:rRNA from 1 species